CCAGGUGGAGGAGGAGAAGAAGAAAAUGAAGGUUUGAGAUGGAGGCUAAGAGAGCAAUAUACUGAGAAAUAUGAGAAAUACCAGCACUAGAAGAAAUACAAUUGAAUGUAGCAAAAAGACCCGAUUUCUGCUAGUUCUGGUAUUUCUCACUAUAUUGCUCACUCCCGCUUCCAGUCGCUCAUCGUUGAAGGAGGACGCCUUUCUUGAGCUCCAGCUUCGUGCAUUGAGGAUACAUAUAUUGAAUGCCCACGCCCAUUCAAUCCAAUUCUCAUUCAGAGCAUUGAGGCCACAUACAUGAACAAGAACAAUACAGAUUUGGAUUGGGUAUUAAUCUUGUUCAGGACGGCAAGACCGUUGUCGAGAAGAAAGGUAAUGGAUUAACAUUUUUCAUUCAAUUGGACGUUUCUUUCUAGUUUGGAGGCCACCCUUAAAGGCAGGUUCCUAGCAUGGACGCAGCUAUCUUGGUGUGACAGAGGAACUCGCAAGUUUGAAUGUGGUUUUCUUGGUGGAUAGGAGAUCGGAUGAUCAAGGGUCAAGGAUGAGGAAGCUAAAAACACCCUGAUCAACUAGAUCAUCCUUACCAAGUGAUUCAAAAUCUAACCCUAAUAGGGCCACAGGAUGAAUUUGGAUGGGCCAGUGGUUGACACUUUAGAGAGAGAACCAAAUUCAUUUUUAUGUACUCAUGUUGUUAUAGCAUCUAAAACUGAGGUGAAGAUUUUCUCA